rnacentral:snoRNA from 1 species
CAUUUGGUGGAGGAUGAAAAUAAGGAAUGAUCCAGUUGCUAAAUGUCUUAUCACAAUCCUGAAACUCAAAUUGCUGACAGAAAAAA